rnacentral:rRNA from 1 species
UACGUAGGGUGCGAGCGUUAAUCGGAAUUACUGGGCGUAAAGCGUGCGCAGGCGGUUAUUUAAGUCAGGUGUGAAAGCCCUGGGCUUAACCUAGGAAUUGCGCUUGAGACUGGAUAGCUUGGAGUGCGGCAGAGGGAGGUGGAAUUCCACGUGUAGCAGUGAAAUGCGUAGAGAUGUGGAGGAACACCGAUGGCGAAGGGCAGCCUCCUGGGCCAGCACUGACGCUCAUGCACGAAAGCGU